rnacentral:rRNA from 1 species
AUACGGAAGAUGCGAGCGUUAUCCGGAUUUAUUGGGUUUAAAGGGUGCGCAGGCGGCAUGUCAAGUCAGCGGUCAAAGUUCCGGGCUCAACCCGGUGAUGCCGUUGAAACUGGCGCGCUUGAGUUCGUGGGAGGAAGGCGGAAUGCGCGGUGUAGCGGUGAAAUGCAUAGAUAUCACGCAGAACCCCGAUUGCGAAGGCAGCCUUCCAUCACGCCACUGACGCUGAGGCACGAAAGCGUGGGUAUCGAACAGGAUUAGAUACCCUGGUAGUCCACGCAGUAAACGAUGAUAACUAGUUUUCCGGUCCGAUCGAGGAUUGGGAGACCGAGCGAAAGAGUUAAGUUAUCCACCUGGGGAGUACGCCGGCAACGGUGAAACUCAAAUUAAUUGACGGGG